GACGGAGGAUGCAAGUGUUAUCCGGAAUCACUGGGCGUAAAGCGUCUGUAGGUGGUCAAAUAAGUCAACUGUUAAAUCUUGAGGCUCAACCUCAAAAUCGCAGUCGAAACUAUUCGACUAGAGUAUAGUAGGGGUAAAGGGAAUUUCCAGUGGAGUGGUGAAAUGCGUAGAGAUUGGAAAGAACACCGAUGGCGAAGGCACUUUACUGGGCUAUUACUAACACUGAGAGACGAAAGCUAGGGUAGCAAAUGGG
rnacentral:rRNA from 1 species